CUUGAUGGCAGAACUCGCACACAGUUAAUAACAAAACAGCUCAGCACCAUGGACAGCAUCUUCAUUCCUACAGCACGUCCACAAGAGGAUAAAAGACAGAGGGAUGAGCAGACGAAGGAUGCAUGAAAGAGCCCUUGUCUGGGUGAGACACGAUACUGCUCAACAAAGGGAUUUCAUACGGUGCUGAGGCUUCCUCCGGCAUCCCGCACUCUUUCUUUAUUCUGCCAAGGUAAUUCACACAAGUCUACAACCCACCGACAUCGCCAGAGAAAGAUGAUUACAGCUGUAGCUCCAGACUGACAGCUUCUCCAGUCUCCUCAACUCCACGGGCCUCUCCAUGGUUACCAAGACACUGGCAACGUGAAAAAAAACUGCUUAAAAAAAAGAGUGAUAAUUUGUUUUCUGGUUCUCCUCCAUCACCUGAGACAGCUGAGAAGGCUAUGCAUUCCCAGUGGCACAUCUAUUCAUGCAUAUAGAUUAGGCUGAUUUCAGACGCCUUAGUCUGAAAAGGAAAUCAUUUUGUUCAGUGAAUCAGUGAGAUGGAAAUCUGUAGUAAAUAUUUUCUCUGAAAUAUUUCAUACAAUUUUUUUUCCCACACUGUUUUAAAAAGCAACACAGUAUGGAGUUACUUUUGCGUCUUUAUUAUGCAGGCAAACAGCUAAGGUUUGCAAUCAAAAAAUAGAGAAAAAUAGAGAGAGCAAAACUAUCAACACUGCAAUCAAAAACUGUUUUAUUGUAAGUAAAAUACGUUUGUGAUUAAACUUUGUUGUUUUUGAUUUGGCUCAUUAUGAAAUCAAACUUAUUCUGUUUGAUUGCAUAAUAAAGAUGCAAAAGUAACUCCAUACACAGUCUCUUUUUUUGCAAUCAGUGGGGUUUACAGCAGUUUGAUAAUGAUGGCAGCUGUAGUGAGUGUGUAUUUUGUGAGGUGGAAAAUGAGAAACCAAUUAUCCAAUGAAACUAAGGAUUAUAUUGUUAAACAUAAUAACAAUGACAAGAGGGAGAAUACAAAUUAUAACAGUGUAGCAUCAUAAACCUAUUAUUACAUUAACAGAGAACAGUUUGAAAUGUAAAUACAAUGUCACAUUAGUGAAAGUUCUGUUUUCACAGAGAAAACAGGGCUGCAACUAUCACUUACUGUCAUGAUGUAAAAAGUGUAAAAUGCUAAACCUGAUGUAAGAAUAACAGCAUUGAUUUCCACAGCCUGGAGACAGUGAUAGAGGAUGUGAAGCUUGUCA